rnacentral:ncRNA from 1 species
UUGUCGGAGUGCCUUAGGCUGAGAUCAAUUUUUUUGAAAUCCGCAGACCUGAUCAAGAUAAUGCUUGCGAAGGGAACAAUAGUUUUUA